AAGACUAACUACUGCGAAAGCAUUUGCCAAGGAUGUUCUCAUUAAUCAGUGAACGAAAGUUAGGGGAUCGAAGACGAUCAGAUACCGUCGUAGUCUUAACCAUAAACUAUGCCGACUAGGGAUCGGGCGAUGUUAUCUUUUUGACUCGCUCGGCACCUUACGAGAAAUCAAAGUUUUUGGGUUCUGGGGGGAGUAUGGUCGCAAGGCUGAAACUUAAAGAAAUUGACGGAAGGGCACCACCAGGAGUGGAGCCUGCGGCUUAAUUUGACUCAACACGGGGAAAC
rnacentral:rRNA from 1 species